UGGGAGUAUUAAAAGCAAAAAAGGGAUUACAUGAAGUAUAAAGGCUUGUCAUCCACAUAUAAUAUACUCCAGUACAUGAGAUCUAAAGGUCGAAAGAUGCACAAAAUCCAUAAUUAAAGAUAAGAUAACAAAACAAAAAGCAAGAUUUGGAAGCCAAUUCCCUUAUCUUUCAUUUAAAGCAAUGCACAUCACAAUUUUUUUUUUCAGUUGUAUUAGAACCACUGAUUCAACUGGAAGAAAUAAUUCUUGGUACCACUGCUUCCAAAUCUCUUUUCCUAGUUGAUGGAUUUGCUUUAUUCCCAUUAUAACACAGUAGAAGUUGCAAACUAAUCCAACAAGUUACUCCACAACAUUAACAAGUUCAUAUUCAAUAAGGGACAGGUUGUUGUCUUCCUUAACAGUGAAAUCAGCAGGAUCUGUUACUUCAACACGGCCCCAUUUGUCCACAGCAAGCCUCAUUGAUCCUUUAAACAUGUCAAUUUUUGCAUUUCGCAAAAUGAUAGUAGAGCCAUCUUUCAGCAGAUCGACUGAAUAAAAGAAAAAUCCAAGAAAAGGAUUAACAUUUGCAUGCCUUUAGAUUUUCAGCAACUUUACUAAACAUGGAUGGGAUUCAAAGCUAAAGAAAAAAGAAAUCAAUUCACUUAUAGAUGACAAAUAUAACAGAACAACAAAGAGUAUGGAAUUAAUUAAGCUAAUUUUUUACAUGCAGAGUAAAAUUUGUAACCAUAUUUGUAUUGCAAAUACAAACUAUACAUAAAAAUCAUUAGAGAAAUUGUGCCACAAAAAUGAACUUCAUCUGCAUAUAACAUGAUGAGUAUAUUAUUCUCCAUUAAGUUAAUGGCAUUAACCUAUGAGGAUACUGAAUUUCAUUCAUUUCUUACCCCUAAUGAUGAAUCAACAGUUCACAACGUUAUGGAUGUAAACAACACGUUGAUUCCAAAUUAAAGAUAGAAGAAGCAGCGAUUGAUCAUUGCUCUAAAGGCAACAAACGCGAUAUCAAGUCAGAUGAAUUUACAGAUUACAAUGCUACUUAAAGACAGUAACAAAAACAUAGCAUAAAAAGAAAACAUAAUGCACAAAUGUCCUUGCAAAUUACACAUAAUAUUUUGGAAUUUGAAAAGCAAACCACAUUAAAUUUCAAAAACAGACGAUGAAAUCACCAUAUGGAGGGUGAUGUUACUUGAAGUUAAACAACUGCCAUACUAUUUAUUUAGCAUCGUGUGGAGUUAAUGAACUUAAAAUUUAACAGGUCUUUCGGUCUGUUAUAACAUGUGUUCUAACUAUGAUUAUCAAUUCUUAAUUUAUCCUCAUCGUAUGGACAACACAAAACCGGAAUUAACGAAAGUAGGAACAAAUGUAAAAAAUGCCGACAAAAUUGACAUUUUGAACAAGUUUGACGAAUAAUAUGUCAUGGUAAACAAACAUAGAGUUUAAUGUUUAUACUCUGACGGUGCAAUUUUUUUUUUGCCUUGACAUCCAAUAAGAAUCAACUACUUCUUCCCAUAAUACCACUAAAGUGGGGUGUAGUGGAGUGAUUUAGCAGAAUACACAGUUACUAGGGGUGGGCAUGGUUCGGUUAACCAUAUUAACCGAACCGAACUGAACCAAAUGUUGAAAUGGUUCGGAAUAACCGAACUGAACCAAAGUUAUGGUUCGGUUAACCAUUUACUUCCCUAUUAACCGAACCGAACCAAAACCAAAAUUUUGAACCAAAAUGUAUUUUUUUAUCCUAUAUUUUAAGUACACAAAUUACAUUAACAUGGUGAAACAACUUCUCUUCACUUCAUGUUACUUCAAAUAUUGAUCUCUAAGCAUGGUUUAGGGUAUUUAAAUGUGACAGUUAUUUACUAUUUCACAUAUUAUUUAUAGCCUAUAUCAUAAUAACACGAUAUACACUUAAUAUUACUUCUGUCCAUAUUGAUCUCCAAGCAUGGUUUAUGGUAUUUAAACGUGACUGCAUUUUUUUUGGUUAUGACAGAUCAAUGAAACAGUGAAUUUUAGUUUAAAAACAUUGUUCAUAAAACUACAUGUAAUAAUAACCAAACAUGCAUGCUGAAAAUUAAUACAAUGCGCAUAUGGAUAUCUUUUGGCAGGAACAGUAGUUUAAAUUCUCUUUCUUACUACUAUUUUGAAGCAUCAAUAUUAUAUGGAUCAGAAGUAGAAAUUUUAAAGUGCCAAUAUUGUAUUUUGAAGCAUCAAUAUUACAUGGAUCAGGAGUGAAAAAAUAAGAGGUGUUGUGUAAUUCUGUUAUAUGGUUAUGGUUCGGUUCGGUUUGGAUAAUUGUGGUUAUUAAUGGUUCAGUUAAUUUUGAUAUGGUUCAAUUCGGUUAUUGGUUAAUUUUGCCCACCCCUAACAGUUACUACUGUUGGAUGACAGUGUAAAGUGUAUCAUAUUUUCUCAUAAACAUAUAAGUGUAUAAAAACUUAAGAAAAAUAACGGCAACAUCACGAAUUCAGAACAAUUAUACCAAACGGGCAUCACUACAAAAUCAAAGCAAUAACAUUUAUACCUUGAUCAUUUCUCGCAGUAAAGAUGAUCAUCCCAGUCUCAUCCCCAACCAAACUUUCAGCAAUUCGCAUCUGACGAGGCUGAGGACCAUCGGGACGACCCUUCUGCAUCACCAUCUUAGUAUUCACCACCUUGACAGUCAGAGUGUGGCCACUAGUCCCCGGUCGAAGCUGUUCGACCUUAGUGAAGGUCGGCUUUCUCAAUCCAGGUUUUGCCUCCGCCAU
rnacentral:lncRNA from 1 species